GACAUUUUAUAGCCCAAACAACUAAUCGAUUAAUCGAAAAAAUAAUCUACAGAUUGAUCGACCUUGAAAAUAAUAGUCAGUUGCCGCCCUAAUAUUUACUUUUACAUAUCUCACAAUAAAAAAUAUCAAAUAAUAUUCUAUCCCAGAACAGCCUAAUAUUGAGGCUGCUCUCUGUUUCUUCCACCUCUGCUGCUGUCCAGCUCGGCUGCCCCGUAGCUGCUAAUGACACUGACCUCCCGAUGACACAGAUACCUACAGCAUCCUCCGUCCUAUCCUCUUCAAGGGUUGGAGGAAUGCAGCUCUGCAGCUAUCUACCGUCUCAUCUAAGGCCCGGAUGUACCUCAGCCCUCCCUGCAAUCAGUUAACGGUUAAUCUCCAUUCAUACAGUUAAAGGGUAUGCGGCCUCAAUGAAUGUCAUCUGGGAAGAAGAGGAACGUUAUACAAACCAACUGUGACAACAUCUUCUCUGUGCUGAGAGAAAAGACACAAGGUGUUGGGGGAGGAGCAGCAGACUGAAUGAAGACUAGGACACCAAGGUUGAUCAUCUGAUUGCCAGGCACCAGUGCUGAUUUGUUGGCUGAGUCUAUAUAGGAAGGCCCUGUACUUCAGCUCUUUUCCUCUCCAUCCUGCUGCAGCAGCACCUCUGUGGUCCUUGUUAUCUGGUAUUCAUUAAUUAAUUUUACUUCAAUAAACUAACAUGCAAUAAAACGUAUCUCCUGGUUGUGUCCAUUUUUAUUUUCAGUGUUAAGCCUGCCGUGACACCAUGUUAUGACUAUUUUUCCAAUAUACUAUAAUGAUUUCUUUUACUCUUUUUUUUGACAUACUACACUGGGACUUUUUUUUUUUACUCUUUUUUUUUGACAGACUUUACUAUGACUUUUUUUUAAUUACAUUUUUUGACAUAAUAAACUGA